UUCAUUCUAUCAGCCCGUUGCUGUCUAUGCAAAGAAUGAGGCAAGCAGAAUUUAAAUCGUGGCUUGUGCCAUACUUCCUGUCACUCAAAGCUCUGCAUAGCGGUUCUCAGAGAAAGGCGAUGAAUUUGGCAGUUCCUGGAGACACAACAUGAAUGUUCAGAUUCUGCUUCUUUGGCUGAGUCCAGGUUCCUUUUUCUUUUUUUUUUUUUGUUAUAUCUUGUAAUAUUUGUUCCACCGUGGAAGGCAUGAAAAUCUCCUUUUAGUACCAAGAAAUUAUUUGAACUCAGACAAGCUUUGAAUUCUUGCUUUAAAAAUAUGUAAUCCACUUAAGAGUUUGGGAUCAUGCCUGCCACUCUGAAACAAUAUCUGAGAUGGAUAAGUGAACAUAUUUUGAAUGACACAAAUGGUUCCCAUCUACGGAAAGCAAUGACAGGAAAAAUGUGGAUGGAAUCACACUACAGGAAAGAACAAAGGCAAAAGAAAGACCCGGAAGAUGAGCCAGUUGAUCCUGAGGCUAAAUGAGGUGUUUUUGCUCAAAAGUAGUUUUAGCAGUGGUUGCGAAAGAAACAUGCUGACAGCUGAGGGAAGACUUCUGGGUAUAGUUUAAAUGCUAAUUGGCUCCUGGUCCCUGGUGGUACAAAGUUCAGUGUGAUUUAGAUUAACUGUGGCUGGGGGAAGGCAUUAUGCCUAGUUUUAGCAGUGACUGGUUACAAUUUACAGGCCUGGGAACAGGAAGAAAUGCUUAAAGCUUGACUAGUUUUGUUUGACAUACUGCUUUCUCUUCAAGGAAAGACAAGUAUGAUUUUAUUUUAUCAAGAGAAAACUGAGACACUAGAAGGUUCUGGAAUUUACCCCAAAUCGUGGAGAUGAUCGUGUAGCCGAGUUGAUUGACAUUUUCUGACUCUAAUACCGUGGUACCUAGAUCCAGGUGGGGAUUUAUGAAUAGUUAUGUCUCAGUUAUUAUAAAUUAUACAUUUCAUUUGUAUUGAUUGAUCCUAGAGCAGAUCAACAUUUUUGUUUAUUGAUUUAAAUAAGCAUUUAUUGAUUGUUGAGUACCAGCUCAGAGAUUUUGACUUAGUUGAUGUAUGGUGUGG